AUUGAACGCUGGCGGCAGGCCUAACACAUGCAAGUCGAACGAGUGGCGGACGGGUGAGUAAUGUCUGGGAAACUGCCCGAUGGAGGGGGAUAACUACUGGAAACGGUAGCUAAUACCGCAUACCAUCAGAUGUGCCCAGAUGGGAUUAGCUGGUAGGUGGGUUAACGGCUCACCUAGGCGACGAUCCCUAGCUGGUCUGAGAGGAUGACGAGACACCCUGGAACUGAAACCCGGUCCAGACUCCUACGGGAGGCAGCAGUGGGGAAUAUUGCACAAUGGGCGCAAGCCUGAUGCAGCCAUGCCGCGUGUGUGAAGAAGGCCUUCGGGUUGUAAAGCACUUUCAGCGGGGAGGCGUUACCCGCAGAAGAAGCACCGGCUAACUCCGUGCCAGCCGCCGCGGUAAUAC
rnacentral:rRNA from 1 species